GCUGGGUGUGGUGGCUCACACCUGUAAUCCCAGCACUUUGGGAGGCCGAGGCGGGUGGAUCACCUGAGGUCAGGAGUUCAAGAUCAGCUUGGCCAAUAUGGUGAAACCCCGUCUCUA
rnacentral:SRP_RNA from 2 species